UGAGAUUUGCAGCUAUACUGGAACAGAGAUCUUACCCAUGUCUGCAGGAGAUAUCAAAACAUCCAUGUGCAGCACAGAGGUUACAUCACAUGCAGCUGGAAUGUGGAGUUUACUUAGCUGUUUAUUUGAGAUAAGGAUUAUGGGCCUAUGAACUGGGCUGAAAUUCUCUUCAGGGUCAGAUUUGUAGGAGAUUUUCAGUGAAGUAUUGGUUUAUUUGGGAUUAUUUAACUGUCAGUAGAUUAGACAGAAAAGUUCCCCUAAAUGAGAUUGUAGGGAGUCCUCCAGAAAGUGUUGAAGGAAGGAUUGUGGUACUCUGCUCUCAGCCCUUGCACUGAUGUCAUAGAGAAGCAGUUCUGACUGCAGUAAAUGGAUAGCAGUUCCAGUAAAUGGAUAUUGUUAAAUAUUGUUAACUUGCGCUGAGAAGCCAAGGGCAGCCUUAGUCACUGCUAUCCCACACCCUGUGCGUCUGCAAGUAUUUCCCAACAUUAGACAAUGAAGUAGUUAUCACAGAAAGGCCUAUUAUGAAGUCUGAAAAGAAGACUGCAGUGCUAGCUGUCCAGAAGAUAUAAGAAAAAAUUGGAUGGGAAUGAGAGCUUUCAAGCUCCUUUCAGCCUCUGAGGUAUUGCUCGACAUUAAAACCAUGAAGGUUCCAACUGUAUUCCAUCUGGCCCUUCUCUGAUGGUGACCAGCAGAAACUAUGGGGAGGAGUACAAGGACAUGUAGUAUUUUCCCCACAUCACUUUGUAAAAACACUUGGGCUUCACCUGCAAAUUGACCACGACCCAGUGCCCUGAACCAGCCAAAGCCUUUGACCGUGCAAAUACUGGAGUAGCAUGUCACAAGGUAGCACGACACGUUUCAGCAAAGUUAUUUUUCCAAUUGACCCUACAUUUUCAAGAACUACUCUUUGGUUCACUUACAUAUUAAGAAUAUUACAAAUGAAACAAGUGCCAAACUGACGGUCAAAGUAAGAAUAAAGGUGACGAAGAACAAA